rnacentral:rRNA from 1 species
AUUGAACGCUGGCGGAAUGCUUUACACAUGCAAGUCGAACGGCAGCACGGGGGCAGCCCUGGUGGCGAGUGGCGAACGGGUGAGUAAUACAUCGGAACGUGCCCGGUCGUGGGGGAUAACGUAGCGAAAGUUACGCUAAUACCGCAUACGAUCUGAGGAUGAAAGCGGGGGACCUUCGGGCCUCGCGCGAUCGGAGCGGCCGAUGUCAGAUUAGGUAGUUGGUGGGGUAAAGGCCUACCAAGCCGACGAUCUGUAGCUGGUCUGAGAGGACGACCAGCCACACUGGGACUGAGACACGGCCCAGACUCCUACGGGAGGCAGCAGUGGGGAAUUUUGGACAAUGGGCGCAAGCCUGAUCCAGCCAUUCCGCGUGCAGGACGAAGGCCUUCGGGUUGUAAACUGCUUUUGUACGGAACGAAAAGGCUCUGGCUAAUACCUGGGGCUCAUGACGGUACCGUAGGAAUAAGCACCGGCUAACUACGUG